rnacentral:lncRNA from 1 species
GCGCUCGCAGGUAGCUGCAUCUGCGUCUUCCGCAAUCACUCUUCCUGUUUUCGUGUUUAAAGUUUGGUGUGUGAAGAAGACGACGUCCUGUGGGGGAAAUCUGCGCUUCAAUUGUAUUGCCUUGAGAAAAACUUCAUACAAAGUCAGUUAACUUAAUUUGUGAGAUCCACCAGGCGGUGGGAUGGUGCCUUGAAGUCUACACGUGGACCACUAAAGUUCCAGCCUCAAGGCGACAGAAAACAAAUCACUGCUCAACCAAGCCAUUCACAGAGCUUGUUUGGUCAUGGAGACAGCUGAAAAGACUAUUAUGAGGGAAUUGAGUCGGUGACAGAGCCAUAUUAAUUAAAAGCCAUAGAAGACAAAGAAAAUAGCUGAUUUACUUGUGAAUUAUACAGGAUUUCCACCCUGUUUCUGCUGCUAAUCAAGAAAUCUGACUCUGACAGUGUGAAUGGUGUCACAGGGUCUUUGAGAGGAUUAGAUGGGCUGAUCUGAGAACUGAUAUGAAAUCCUCCUGUCUGUCAUUUGCAUCCUUUGUAGUAGCACAUUCACUGCUCUGUGUGUAUAUGUGUGUGGAU